ACUUAAAUAGUUUAAUUGAAGAACAACAGGUUGUGAAGCUGCAAGAAUUUUAAUAAAUUUUAAGUU
rnacentral:tRNA from 1 species